rnacentral:sRNA from 1 species
CUUUAUUAAAACAACAUAUUAAUAACAUUUUAAAAUUUUAUAAAUAUUGAUUCAAAUACAUCCACAAUAUAAUCCAAUUCCAAAAUUAAACCCGUUCUGUAAUUUCUUUACCCGUCCCGUGAUUUUUUUUAAAGUAGUAAUUUUAAAAAUUUAAGAAUUAUGUAUUAUAUAUAAAAGUUUUGUAAAUUGUAUCAUUCUCUAAUACAUUUAUAUUUUAUAGUUUAAUUUUAUAUAUAGUAACAUUAUACAUACCACAUAACAUUUUUGGUUUUAUAUAAUCUUUUCUAAAUUAGGAUGAUUUUGAUAUGUUUCAUAUUAGUGGUCUUAAAAAAUAAUAAAUUAAAGAUUGAACCCGUAUUGAAACGGUGAAUUAAUUAUAUUUUACUUUUUUAUUAAUGAUGAAUCAAAAAUCCGUCCCUCCAAAUCCGUCUUGCCAAAAAGCCAUUUAUUUUAUUAAUAUUAAUUUUAUUUAUGAUAUGACUAUGAUUUAUAAUCUAAACAUUUUAGCUAAUAACAUAAGAGUGCACCAUAUUUACUUAAUAAAGAAAUGUACCAUAUGACCUGAAUGCACUUUUACCUAAAUCCACUAAAAAACUCUUGCAAAAAUACUAUAGAGAUAAGAAACGAUAGUCGGUUUUGAUAGGUAUAAGAUUAGCAAAUAUAUUAAUUAGCUUAAAUUAGUUAAAGAAUACAAAUUGAAAAGGUAUAUUACACUUUAUUCGAUUAUAG